rnacentral:rRNA from 1 species
GACUACCGGGGUAUCUAAUCCCGUUUGCUCCCCUGGCUUUCGUGCCUCAGCGUCAGAUGCCGACCAGAGAUUCGCUUUCGCCACUGAUGUUCCUCUCGAUAUCUACGCAUUUCACUGCUACACCGAGAAUUCCAAUCUCCUCUUCGGCCCUCGAGCAAGGAAGUAUUCAGGGCAGUUUCCAAGUUGAGCCUGGAGAUUUCACCCCGAACUUUCCCUGCCGCCUACGCACCCUUUACGCCCAGUAAAUCCGAACAACGCUUGGGACCUCUGUAUUACCGCGGCUGCUGGCACAGAGUUAGCCGUCCCUUCCUCUUCCGCUACUAUCAAACCGUGACGUGUUAGGCCACAGCAAUUAUUCGCGAAUGACAGGGGUUUACGAGCCGAAGCCCUUCAUCCCCCACGCGGCGUCGCUCCAUCAGGGUUUCCCCCAUUGUGAAAAAUUCUCGACUGCAGCCCCCCGUAGG